ACGGGAUUAGAUACCCCCGGUAGUCCUUGCCCAUAAACCGAUGUCCACCUAGAUCCGGUGAACUUCUUACCAGUGCGCCGGUUCGAAACAAAAGCGUUAAGUGGACCGCCUGGGGAGUACGUUCGCAAGCCUAAAACUCAAAGGAAUUGACGGGGGCUCACACAAGCGCUGGAGCAUGUUGCUUAAUUCGAUGCAACGCGAAGAACCUUAUCCUGGACUUGACAUGUUAGGAUGCCUCCAUGGAAACAGGGUUGUUUGCCCUUCGGGGUGAAACUUUCACAGGUGCUGCAUGGCUGUCGUCAGCUCGUGUCGUGAGAUGUUGGCUUAAGUCCCGUAACGAGCGAAACCCUUGUCGUUAGUUGCCAGCGCGUAAUGGCGGGACUCUAGCGAGACUGCCGCUGUAAACCGGAGAAGGUGGGAUGACGUCAAGUCCUCAUGCCCUUUAUUCCAGGGCUGCAAACGUGCUACAAUGGCGUGUACAAACCGACGCAAGACCGCGAGGUGGAGCAAAUCGGAAAAAGCACGCCCCAGUUCGGAUUGGAGUCUCAACUCGACUCCAUGAAGUCGGAAUCGCUAGCAAUCGCGUAUCAGCUCGACGCGGUGAAUGUGUUCCUG
rnacentral:rRNA from 1 species